rnacentral:lncRNA from 1 species
GCAGGACUUACAAAAAUCAUAGCUCCGGCUAAAAGACGUUUCAGCAAUAUAAAGUAGCGACAACCAUUAAGAGCUUCAGCUCGUCAAUCCAUCCCGCAUAAGCACAAGUUCAAAAUUUUCUCAGUUCUCUCACCGACCUAAGCCAAAGUUUCAAAGCAACAGUGCAACAUGAAUAUUCUAAGCUCACCGAUCUAGAAGCUAUUCUUAGCUCGUUACCCGAACUCCUUGAUACCCAGGUAUUAUCUAUCAAAAUUAUACAUAUUAUUCAAAGAAUAUUCACCAUUGUCACAGGGUCUGUCCCUCCUCCAAGCCGAACUAACGUUCGCAUUUAACAAAAAAAAAAAAAAAAAAAGAGGAAAAAGAGAAGGAAGCUUCUCCGAAGCUCUCCUUAGACGAGCUCUGAGCUCCCACUUAAACUCACACUUCAGCACCUUGCCCAACUCAACUAUUAUUGACAUGCUCGUCAGUUUGAGUUUGUCAGUCUCAGUUCAGACAGCUUUAGUUCCUUAUUUUCGGCUCGUCAGCAGCUUUUGUUCGUCAUUUUCAAAUAUCAGCUUGGUUCAAAAUUUCAUCUCGACCCAGAUUUCAGUUCGGUUUAGAUUCAGUUCAUUAGUUUUGAGUUCGGAAUUUCAGUUCAAUACCUUGAGUUCGUCGAUUUCGGAUUUCAGUUCGACUCAGCUUCAGUUCGUCAACUUGAGUUCGUCAAAUUCAUAAUUUUAGAAUUUCAGUUUUCAUUCAGAGUUUUAGUUCGGCUCAUAAUUUCAGUUUUCAUUCAGAGUUUUAGUUCGACUCAGAAUUUCAGUUUUCAUUCAUAGUUUUAGUUCGGCUCAGAAUUUCAGCAUGUCAUAUUCAGUUCAUUUCAGAUCAGAUCAGUUUUUGUUCAGAAUUUCAUGUUUCAGUUCGGUACAACAGCUCAAUUGGUUAGACAAGUUCAGUUCAUCGACUUGAGUCCGUCAUCUCAGAAUACACUCUUCUGCCGAGCUAUACUGCGCUCAAACCUCUUCUAGCUCAUCAACCGAGCUCCUCUGAAAUUCAGGGUCCGUCCCUCCAAGCCGAACUGACAUGUUCUCAGUCCCAACCGAACUCAUCGGUAUUACAUCGACUUCCUGGCCAGUUGUUCGAUAGCAUUUCUCAACAAUGCAACCUCAAAAAGCCGAGAUCCGUCUCGCAAGCGUCCACAUGGCGCCGUGGUGAAAGAAUCCACAAUUUUUAAAGCCGGGGCCAGUCCCGCAUUACUUAUUCCUAAGUCACCGAGAACAAUAAGCCAAGCCCAUCUCGCACACUCUGGUUCGAUUUAGGAGACCUUGAGUUUAUAUCAUGCGUUUACAAGGGUUCGAUUCCUCACUCUUCCAGUAUGAUAAAACUCACUUGGGUCCCCCAGGCCGAGUUCAUUUAACUCGCACAAAUUAAGCCGAACACCUCAGAUUCGCACCGUAAGCCGAGUUCUCAACACUCGCAAAUGUAAGCCGAAUUAUCGCAAUUCGCAACAGACUGAGUUGAAACUUAUAUAAGCCGAGCUAACAACCUCGCAAGUCUCCAAUCUCAAUUCAACCCGGACUAAAAAUACUCAUCAAAUCCGCCGAACUCUUACACAUACUCUUUCGCCGGACUGAGGGGGGGGCUUACUGUUGGUGGUGUACUCCGCACCCCCGGUUUAGUCCGGUAUGAACCGAGAUCAGCCCGAUUUACGAUGGUUCAUAUCCAAAAGAUAUUCGGCCCAUUAAUAGCUUAUGGUCUUCUAAAGCCUGAUUUACAAUAUCGGCAUUAACAUCUAAACUUUACGGAAUAUUUCUUUAAUCUUAUCCAAGAAAAGGAAAUAUUCCCGAAACCAAAUCCAAAUAGAAAAAGGAAAUCGUCUAGAAAGACCGAUUUCAAAACCCUAUAAAUAGAAGAGACUCAUCUCUUUCAAAGAUCAUUCACAACUUUAAUAACAGAACUACGAAUGGCUUGAUCCCUUUUCAGGGGUACGUAGGCAGCUCAUCUUGAGUUCAGCUAUAACAUUAAUAAAAUCUCUAAAUUCUUUGUGUGAUACUCGGUAUCAACAAACACAAUCACAUUAAAUAUUAGUUUAUGUUCAUUAAUCCUUAGGUUACAGGGGAAGGUUUUGCCGGGCUGAAAUCGAUGGACACACUGUUGACGCAAUGGCGUUCAUCGGUUGGAGUAGCGUAACCUUCUCCUUUGAAAACAUGGCCUAAAUGUCCAUCGCAUGCCGCACAAGUGAUCUCAGUUCUUCUCCCAUCUGGAUCAGGCUGAUAAUUUUGUUGAAUCACAUCAAGCAAAACAUAGAAAGAAAAAAAGACUUUUAAUUAGUUACCAACAUUCAUGAAAUUAAUAAACCAAAAAACAUACAAAAGAUAAGAUCUCUUUUACAGAUCGGUUUAUGGCGCCGGGAAGUCCUUGAAAGAAAGCUGGCCAGCCACAUCCAGCGUCGAACUUUGUUGUGGAUUUAUAAAGAGGAGUUUUGCAUCCAACGCAGUUGAAUAUUCCUUCCUCGAAGAACUUGUCAUAUUCUCCAGUUCCUAGCUUUCUGAAAAAAUAUUGUGAUGACCAAAAAAAAACGCAAGAACAUUUAAUAAGAUGAUAAAUAUUCCCAUCGAUUCUUGAAAAUGGACUUAAACUCGGAGUUGCCUAUGUCUUUUUAGGAUUAGAUACAAGGAUUCUAUUCUUGGAUGAAUCAAAUAA